GACGAACGCUGGCGGCGUGCCUAAUACAUGCAAGUCGAACGCUGAAGCUUGGUGCUUGCACCGAGCGGAUGAGUUGCGAACGAGUGAGUAACGCGUAGGUAACCUGCCUGGUAGCGGGGGAUAACUAUUGGAAACGAUAGCUAAUACCGCAUAAGAGUAGAUGUUGCAUGACAUUUGCUUAAAAGGUGCAAUUGCAUCACUACCAGAUGGACCUGCGUUGUAUUAGCUAGUUGGUGAGGUAACGGCUCACCAAGGCAACGAUACAUAGCCGACCUGAGAGGGUGAUCGGCCACACUGGGACUGAGACACGGCCCAGACUCCUACGGGAGGCAGCAGUAGGGAAUCUUCGGCAAUGGACGGAAGUCUGACCGAGCAACGCCGCGUGAGUGAAGAAGGUUUUCGGAUCGUAAAGCUCUGUUGUAAGAGAAGAACGAGUGUGAGAGUGGAAAGUUCACACUGUGACGGUAUCUUACCAGAAAGGGACGGCUAACUACGUG
rnacentral:rRNA from 1 species